GAGAGAUACGGCCACAGGCGCAUCAAUAACUCACAUUAAUACGAUUCUGCAUUUUUUAUACCAUCUCGUAUGCUAAAUGUUGUUUUCUGUCUUUUCUCAACCAGCUCAAGCUAACUAGGCUUAUUCGGCGAGCAAGCUACACAGAAACAUCUUUGCUGACAGAUACUGUUCCAUCUAAUUCAAAUUACAUAUCCAAAUAAAGCGGACCUCUCCUCUUGGUUGUCUUCUUCUGGCUUGAUGCACCAUCCCUUCAGGGCUCUGCUGAAUUCGCUGGAGCGUGUGUCCACAUAAAAGACAGGGCGAUAAGCUGGCACCCACUCAAGGCUGCACAGCAGAUGGUAAAAAGAAGACCUGGCGUUGACUGGUCUGCCGUUGCUGUCGACGAC